UACGUAGGGUGCAAGCGUUGUCCGGAAUUAUUGGGCGUAAAGAGCUCGUAGGCGGUCUGUCGCGUCGGCUGUGAAAUCCCGAGGCUCAACCUCGGGUCUGCAGUCGAUACGGGCAGGCUAGAGUUCGGUAGGGGAGACUGGAAUUCCUGGUGUAGCGGUGAAAUGCGCAGAUAUCAGGAGGAACACCGGUGGCGAAGGCGGGUCUCUGGGCCGAAACUGACGCUGGAGGAGCGAAAGCGUGGGGAGCAAACAGG
rnacentral:rRNA from 1 species